rnacentral:rRNA from 1 species
AGUGAACGCUGGCGGUAGGCCUAACACAUGCAAGUCGAACGGCAGCACAGUAAGAGCUUGCUCUUACGGGUGGCGAGUGGCGGACGGGUGAGGAAUACAUCGGCAUCUACUUUUUCGUGGGGGAUAACGUAGGGAAACUUAUGCUAAUACCGCAUACGACCUACGGGUGAAAGCAGGGGAUCUUCGGACCUUGCGCGAUUGAAUGAGCCGAUGUCGGAUUAGCUAGUUGGCGGGGUAAAGGCCCACCAAGGCGACGAUCCGUAGCUGGUCUGAGAGGAUGAUCAGCCACACUGGAACUGAGACACGGUCCAGACUCCUACGGGAGGCAGCAGUGGGGAAUAUUGGACAAUGGGCGCAAGCCUGAUCCAGCCAUACCGCGUGGGUGAAGAAGGCCUUCGGGUUGUAAAGCCCUUUUGUUGGGAAAGAAAAGCAGCAGGUUAAUACCCCGCUGUUCUGACGGUACCCAAAGAAUAAGCACCGGCUAACUUCGUG